ACUCAGCUGACGAGUGCUAAAUGGGACGAAACGCGAGUUCUGUAU
rnacentral:hammerhead_ribozyme from 1 species